GAGCUGGUGGUUCAGUGGUAGAAUUCCCGCCUUCCAUGUGAGAAACCUAGGUUCGAUUGCUGGCCAGUGCA
rnacentral:tRNA from 1 species